CACGUAGGGGGCGAGCGUUGUCCGGAUUUAUUGGGCGUAAAGAGCUCGUAGGCGGCUUGGUAAGUCGGGUGUGAACCUCCAGGCUCACCUGGAGACGCCACUCGAUACUGCCAUGGCUAGAGUCCGGUAGGGGAGCGUGGAAUUCCUGGUGUAGCGGUGAAAUGCGCAGAGUAUCAGGAGGAACACCAAUUGCGAAGGCAGCGCGCUGGGACGUUACUGACGCUGAGACGCGAAAGCGUGGGUAGCAAACAGG
rnacentral:rRNA from 1 species